AUGAGGCCCGGAUGGCCAGGGGAUCCUCAACCUGUUCCAACAACCAGCGCACAUGGAAGAGACCCACGGAGCAGAUACGUGGAUGUCCUGGGCCAGGAAUGGAAGAACAGCCCCGUGACUAAAUGUGCUGCGGUCCCCAACUGCCCUGCUCAACGACCCGCGGUCCAGAGCGGACCUGCUGCUGAGCCUUUCAUUGUGAGGGCCAAGACCAGCGGAGAGGGCUGGCUUGGCUUUUGCCGUAAGAAGGGGGCACUCCUGCCAGAGGAUUCCUCAAAAUCUAUUGUCUGGGAUCCUAUGCUCAACAGGUGGGUGGAUAUGAGCGUACCACAGGAGGAGAGCAAGCCUCUACCACGUCCCUCACCAAUUGGGAUGCACCCCACUCCACCAAUAGGGAACACAGGCUAUCUGGGGGACUCUGGCAGUCUUCCAAAGGGUAUAAAUAUUCCAGCAGCAGGUCUGUGGAGUGACCCUAACCCCCAGUUGAACCCGGAUGGGAACAUAACUGAGGCCCUCAGCCUGAGUGGCAAACCCGGACCACAGCUGUUCGUUACAGACAUGUAUGCUCUGAUGGCACCGAUGGAAGUUCCAUCUGACGAUUCAGAGAAUUCAGCGUGGUGGAAUGGGAACCUUUCCUAAAAUGCCAUGCCCAAUUGCCAACCUAAUUCAAGAAUGAUCUAUCAGCUACCAAGCAUGAGAACCAAAACGGCAGUUUUAAUAAAUAAGUAGUAGUAUUUAUAGCCUCUGGAUUUGCCGUAAAUUGUUGUGGGAUAAUUAGGAGUACAGCGAUACCUUCCAUCCCUGGAUUGGAGUUCGAAUUUCACAGAGGUGCAAACAUAUUGGCAUUUGGUCGUUUCAACUAGGAGAGCCUUUCUUCUAGUGUUCUUCCACUAGAGGGCACCAUCCACUUUGGUAAACCACCUUGAACUCAAUACGAUUGGUGUGAGGCAUAGAGAUGGAUAGAGGGCGCACUUUCCACAAAGAUAGAGUGUGUGCUGUCUUUCGCUCUCUAUGUCUCACACCCACUGUAAUGGCGAGAAUCAAACACUGGAUGUCAGUGUGGUAUAACUGUGGUACACUAAAAUCGUUAUCUGAAUCAGUGAAUGUGUUAGUCACUAAGACCAACACCAGUGAUUUAUGGUAUUGUAAACAUGCCAGAAUGAAAGCACACUAUAGAAAAGUAGCUAGUUUGUCAAAGUCCCACUGGUCAGGUAAGUGCACUGGACUUUUACAAAAGCAUUCAAAGUUUGGAAAAAUUGAAUCAUACCUUCACUUACAGUGCCAACUUGGUUGGAAAAUGUACCUCACAGCUCACAUUCCUUUCUGACAGUUACUGUAGCAGUGCUAUUCAAUACUGUCGCUUCAUCACUGUUAGGUGACUAGCUAUAUAGGCCUACGAUUAUUUGUACCACAUUUGGUUGAACCAAACAAAUAUACAUUUUUAUAUUGUGACAAGUAUGUUGCAUUGUGUACACUGUGCGGUUCCCUGUGGGGAAUGCCUGUUUAUGGGCAUAUGAAGGCAAAUUACAUUCCACUAACUAUAACAGACAUAUAUACCUAUCUGUAUACUUAUCAUUUUCCAUUUUGUUACAUGCUUAUCUGUAUGUCACACCUGUUUACGAUUUACUGUAUUAGUCCAGAUGAGAUGGACAUUUGUCUUCUGCUUUUUCCCCCAUCCCCUCCGAUACACACACACACGCACGCACGCACGCACGCACGCACGCACGCACGCACGCACGCACGCACGCACGCACACACACACACACACACACACACACACACACACACACACACACAAACACACAUUAGGUUGGGGAUCCUGGAGCAGAGGGCAUCCACAGUGCAGUGCCCAAUUAGCAGUUUAGGGGGUUAAGUACCUUGGUCAAGGGAACAUUGCAUGUUAAUAACUUCUUUGGGAUCUGGGGGCAGUAUUGAGUAGCUUGGAUGAAUAAGGUGGCCAGAGUAAACUGCCUGUUACUCAGGCCCAGAAGCUAGGAUAUGCAUAUUAUUAGUGGAUUUGGAUAGAAAACACUCUGAAGUUUCUAAAAUUGUUUGAAUGAUGUCUGUGAGUAUAACAGAACUCAUAUGGCAGGCAAAAACCUGAGAAAAAUCCAACCAGGAAGUGGGAAAUCUGAGGAUUGUAGUUUUUCAAGUGAUUGCCUAUCCAAUAUACAGUGUCUGUGGGGUCAUAUUGCACUUCCUAAGGCUUCCACUAGAUGUCAACAGUCUUUAGAAUGCUUCUACUGUGAAUGGGGAGAGAAUAUGAGCUAUUUGAACCAGGUGUCUGGAAAAAUGGCAUGAGCUCAGUCAUGCGCGCCACCGUGAGAGCGAGCUGAGUUCCUUUUCAUUUUUGAAGACUAAGGAAUUGUCGGUUGGAAUAUUAUUGAAGAUUUAUGAUAAAAACAUCCUAAAGAUUCAUUCUAUACAUCGUUUGACAUGUUUCUACAAACUGUAAUGCAACUUUUUUGACUUUUCGUCUGGACUUAGUGCAUGCGCCUUCUGCAUUUGGAGUAGUGAACUGAAACCGCAAACUAAAAGGAGGUAUUUGUACAUAAGUGUGGACUUUAUCGAACCAAAACAAACAUUUAUUGUGGAACUGGGAUUCCUGGGAUUGCAUUCCGAUGAAGAUCAUCAAAGUGAAUAUUUAUAAUGCUAUUUCUGACUUUUGUUGACUCCACAACAUGGCGGGUAUCUGUAUGGCUUGUUUUGGUGUCUGAACACUGUACUCAGAUUAUCGCAUGGUGUGCUUUUGCCGUAAAGCUUUUUUGAAAUCUGACACAGCGGUUGCAUUAACUUCUAUGGGCUACGUGGGACGCUAGCGUCCCACCUGCGGGACACAGCCAGUGAAAUAUCAGGGCGGCAAAUAAAAAAAUAAAAAAAUGUCAUAAUUCAACUUUCUCAAACAUACAACUAUUUUACACCAUUUUAAAGAGACACUUCUCCUUGAUGUAA
rnacentral:lncRNA from 8 species